rnacentral:rRNA from 1 species
CCUAAAAUUAGUCCUAUAAUGACACUUAAAAACUCACUAUAAAUUUAAAUAAAUCAUUUUCUUCCCUAGUACGGGCGACAAAAAAGGAAAAAGAGCAACAGAAAAAGUACCGCAAGGGAACGCUGAAAAAGAAAUGAAAUAAACCAUUUAAGUUAAGAAUAGCAGAGCUAACAUCUCGUACCUUUUGCAUCAUGAUUUAGCAAGAAAAAUACAAGCAAAGAGCCCUUUAGUUUGUAACCCCGAAACUAAGCGAGCUACUCCAAGACAGCCUAUUAAGGGCAAACCCGUCUCUGUGGCAAAAGAGUGGGAUGAUCUUUGAGUAGAGGUGAUAAACCUACCGAGCAUAGUAAUAGCUGGUUGCCUGUGAAAUGAAUAGAAGUUCAGCUUUUUAAAACUUCCCCCCUCUUUUAUGCAAGAGCUAAAAUUGAUUAAGGAAAUUAAAAAAGUUAAUCAGAAGGGGUACAGCCCUUCCGAUAAAAGAAACAACUUUAGUAGGUGCUAAAAGAACAUAUUACACAAGGAACUCAAACUAAGUGGGCCUAAAAGCAGCCAUCUUAUUAGAAAGCGUCGAAGCUCAAAUUGAAUCUACCCCCUUAUAUUCUGCUAUUAAAUCUACCCCCCUACCUUCUACCAGGCCUUCUUACAAACGUAAGAUAGAUUAUGCUAAAAUGAGUAAUAAGAAGAAACUAUUCUUCUCCUUAGCACACGUGUAAGUCAGAAUGGACCAUCCGCUGAUUAUUAAUCGGCCCCCCACUCAGAGGGCAGUAAGUUAAAAAAACAAGAAAAAUACUUAUUAAAAACCGUUAAUCCUACACAGGAGUGCACCCUGGAAAGACUAAAAGAAAAGGAAGGAACUCGGCAAACCAAGCCUCGCCUGUUUACCAAAAACAUCGCCUCCUGAUUUAAAAAUAUAGGAGGUCCCGCCUGCCCUGUGACUAAUAGUUUAACGGCCGCGGUAUUUUAACCGUGCAAAGGUAGCGUAAUCACUUGUCUUUUAAAUGAAGACCCGUAUGAAUGGCAUCACGAGGGCUUAGCUGUCUCCCUUUUCCAGUCAAUGAAAUUGACCUCCCCGUGCAGAGGCGGGGAUAAGCACAUAAGACGAGAAGACCCUGUGGAGCUUUAGACCUAAAAUAAGCUACGUUUAACAGCCUGUAAAAUCAGAAAUAACUUAGUAGUCUUUAUUGAAGUGUCUUUGGUUGGGGCGACCGCGGGGUAAAACACAACCCCCAUGUGGACCGGGGAUACUAUCCCUAAUACCAAGGGCCUCCCCCCCAAGUAACAGAACUUCUGACCUUAUGAUCCGGCACAGCCGAUUAACGAACCGAGUUACCCCAGGGAUAACAGCGCAAUCCCCUCUAAGAGCCCAUAUCGACGAGGGGGUUUACGACCUCGAUGUUGGAUCAGGACAUCCUAAUGGUGCAACCGCUAUUAAGGGUUCGUUUGUUCAACGAUUAAAGUCCUACGUGAUCUGAGUUCAGACCGGAGUAAUCCAGGUCAGUUUCUAUCUAUGACAAGCUUUUUUCUAGUACGAAAGGACCGAAAAAAGGGGGCCCAUGCUUACGCAUGCCCCACUUCAUACCGCUGAAACCCAAUAAAGCAAAAAAGAAGCUUGAAAAGAACCCAAAAAACAUGGGUA